CUUUUGUCUGUGUAUGUCUUGUUGGGUACCAUAUAUGUUAAUUGUAAUCUAUACAAUCUGUAUCGUUACUCUCCUAUUCUAUCUUUUGUCCUAAGGAGAGCUGUGCUUAGGCAAUCACAUGGUUAAAAAACUUUGUGCUUGCAAGUCUUCCUCCCUCCUCCCCCCUCCUUCUUUGUUGCUUUCUCUUGCUCUGACUGCUAUGAGUAUUGGCUACAGGGGGGUGGGGUGAAUGGGUGAAAUGCUUGUAAACUCAGUGAGGAAUGUGAGGGAAACAAGGUAUAUUUGCUGGACGAAUAACCUAGUUAGGAACUUUGUGUAAUCUUGUAUAUGUUGUUAAGUAAGAGGUUAUUGGCAUGUUGGAAUAAGGAAAGUUAGAUUUUGUUGGAACAAAUGAAUUGUGGAAUUCAUAAAUGAUAAUGCAGAGAAAAGUACAUUGCAGUUUGCAUGUAAUUGCAGCUAUUCAGAUGCUGUAUUGUGGCAAUCUUUAUACACACAAUGUGAAAUUGCCAAUAGUGAAAUUGCCAAGAAAUUGUUUGUUAAUAAAAAAAAAAAAAAAAAAAGAUCAGAAAUGUUAUGAAACUAGUCUGUACUUACAAUGCAUUGAUUUGUAAACGAGAUGCAGGUCAAGAAACUUUAGAAUCAGC